GGAGGGGUUCGUGCAGCCGCGCACAGCGGGGUGGUUGGGAUGCAGGGGUGAGGAGGAGCGGGGCGCGCCAGAGGGCUUUGGGAUGGGGCUGGGUGAACGUGCGCAGAGCAGAGAAGAGUUAACAGCCCCGGGAGAUGCCGCACGCCUCUCCCUGCUCACAGCCUCGUGGUCUUGGCAAGGCGGCCGGGCUAGAUAAGGGGAAGCGCGACGGGGGGAGCCGGACAAAGGCAGAGCCUUAUUCAGCCUGCGUGGCCGGAUCCAGGCUCCGGAACGGGAGCUGCAGAGCGGGGCCUGGGGCGGGGAGGGCCAUUCAUCCUGCAGCAGAGCAUCUGCUGCGAGCACUGGGUGCGCCGAGGGGGUGCUGGCACCCCGGGACGUGACACACAAGCCCUGCACAGGGGCUCAGGAUAGGUGGAAAGCAGACAGAACCCCUGUCUAUCUGGGUGUGCUGUAUGCAAAGCAGCCCCUUCCCAGCUCCGUCGCGCCGGUUUUGACAUCUGGCAGUGCAAAGUGGGGAUGGGAAGCGGUGGUGUCACCCAAAGGCGCAUGAAGGGGGAAGCGUGUUGGUGGGCGGAGAGGUCCCCGUGGCAGCGCUUCCCCCGCAGCGCCCAGCCCUGGGACCUGCCCUGCACGGCAUCCCCGGGGAACUGGGCGAAGGUUUCGUUCCGAGCUGUGUUUUGGUUUGGGGUUUCGUCAUGUUUUCAUGGCAGGGAAUUUCCGUUCCUAACCAAAGACGAGAGAAAAAAAAAAAAGAAAGAAAGAAAUUUAAAAAAAAAAAAAACCUGCCUUGAAUUUUGGCCAAAAAAAUGGGAUGUUUCCAUUCUUGUUUUGGCUUUUGGCAGCCCCAAACUGCAGCCAAUGGAAGAAACUAUCUUUGUGGAAACGCUGCUGGCCUCCUUUGCGCGCCAUGGCCGUGGCACAGCCCUUUCCUGCCCCUGUGGCCAAGCAGUGUGGGGUGUCCGGGGGGGUCUCGGUGCACCGGGAAGGGGAGCGGAGAGGAGCAGCGCCGCAUCGCCACCGGGGGCUGCGGGCACCCCGUUCC
ensembl:lncRNA